GAGAAUUGAAAAGUGAGACUGCAUGGGGCAUGAUCUAUACAACAAACGACUGCAUUAACCUAAAGUUGUUUUGGUGACUAUAGUGUCCCUUUAAUUAAAUAACUCUUGUUUUAUAAAUAAGUUUUGACUUUUAGAUCAUGCUCCUGCAGUUUCACUGCUCAAUUUG